rnacentral:lncRNA from 1 species
CCUCACCACGGUAGCCAACAUCACAACCACCACUACCCAAAGACCACCAAAAAAUCAGAUCCAAAGUCAUGUUAUCGUACAACCAGGUUGCGAUGCUGCGCCACGACCACUACUAACUCACCAGACCACCAAUAUCAGCACCACCUCACCAACGCAACCAACAUCACAACUGCCACCAUCCAAAGAUCACCAAAAAAUCAGAUCCAAAAUCAUGUUAUCGUACAACUAGCUUGCGACACUGCGCCAUGACCACUACCAACUCACCAGACCACCUCCAGCACAUUUUUCUCGUAGGAGGGGGCUACGACUCUAUGAGCCAACACUAUUAGAAGGAGAGGAAGACGAGGCCAUGGAUCUAGAGCAAGAGCCGGAGGUGUGUGAACGAGAGCGAGAGCUAGAAAUAGAACGUGAACUAAGCAAGAAGAGUUCAAACCUUAUUUAGGAGACAACGCCCGACAGCUUCGACCUGGUUUUGCCAUUGAAUCCAGUGGACUUUCAAAUGCAGUGUGGAGAGUCGAAACCUGCCUAAUAAACCCUAACCAAAGAUAGAGAGAGAAAGAAAGGUGAUACAUAAUUAAAGUUUGUGAUUGAAAUUG